ensembl:lincRNA
CUGUUAUUCUUUUUCAGAUGGAUAAUUGCGUGAAAAUCAAACUAAAAGAAUGCAAUCUUGAGGAGUUAAUCCCCACAUUUGAAGCACAGGAGCGAACCUUUCCUCGUUUUUAGGUCAAUUUGAAUACAAUUCAGAGGG